ensembl:lncRNA novel transcript, sense overlapping to COPZ1 & HNRNPA1
AUUUGGUGACCUAUUCUUCAGAUCAGCAGUCUUUUUCCCCCAAAACCCUGGGUCUAUAAACAGCUGUGAAAUCAGUUCAAUGGAAAUUGACUGCUUUCUUAAGACAAUGAAAUAGUAUACUGCAGACAAAAGAAUAUCAGAGUACUCUGCACGUUUAGUGAAAUGUUUCAAUGUGUGUACAGGAUUAGUGUAAAAUAUAUUUCUUAUUGCGGUCAAAAAAGUUUUGAGACGUGGAUCCAAAAGAAUCCCAGGAAAAGAAAGAGGCUAGCUAGAAUCAAGUGAAAAAGAAGGAUGUGAGGCAAAGUCUACCUUCUUCAAAAACAUAUUUGCCAUUAUUUUAGGAAGCCAAACAAGGACAAGAUGCAAUCAAUCGUAUGUGUAAGUUUAAGCAGCAAAAAGUGGUAAAAACUUUUUUUUUCUGAGACAAGGUCUCACUCUGUCGCCCAGACUGGGGUGCAGUGGCAUCAUCUCGGCUCACUGCAAACUCUGCCUCCCAGGUUCAAGCGAUUAUCCCGUCUCAGCCUCCUGAGUAGCUGGGAUUACAGGUGUGACCCACUGUGCCCAGCC